GCCAGGCGUGGUGGCACAUGCCUGUAAUCCCAGUGGCUCAGAAGGCUGAGACAGGAGGAUUGCAAGUUCAAAGCCAGCUUCAGCAAUGGUGAGGCACAUAGCAACUCAGUGAGACCCUGUCUCUA
rnacentral:sRNA from 1 species